rnacentral:rRNA from 1 species
GUACACUCCUACGGGAGGCAGCAGUGGGGAAUUUUGGACAAUGGGCGAAAGCCUGAUCCAGCAAUGCCGCGUGAGUGAAGAAGGCCUUCGGGUUGUAAAGCUCUUUUGUCAGGGAAGAAACGGUGAGAGCUAAUAUCUUUUGCUAAUGACGGUACCUGAAGAAUAAGCACCGGCUAACUACGUGCCAGCAGCCGCGGUAAUACGUAGGGUGCAAGCGUUAAUCGGAAUUACUGGGCGUAAAGCGUGCGCAGGCGGUUUUGUAAGUCUGAUGUGAAAUCCCCGGGCUCAACCUGGGAAUUGCAUUGGAGACUGCAAGGCUAGAAUCUGGCAGAGGGGGGUAGAAUUCCACGUGUAGCAGUGAAAUGCGUAGAUAUGUGGAGGAACACCGAUGGCGAAGGCAGCCCCCUGGGUCAAGAUUGACGCUCAUGCACGAAAGCGUGGGGAGCAAACAGGAUUAGAUACCCCAGUAGUCCCAUGAU